rnacentral:misc_RNA from 1 species
AUUUUUUUAUUUAUUUUUAUAGAGAAGUACAUCUGGCGCCCAUAAUGGAGCCCAUAAAGCUUCUGGGAUGGAAGACACGUAAUAAAAGCCUCAUACUACUAAAUGCAUGUUACAAGCCACCGUGGCAAGUAAAACAGAUUGUUCCCCUACUUUAAACAAAGCAAGCUAAGAGCCAACAACAAUAUCACAAAUGAAACAAGGAAUCUACCAGCACUAGAAAUAUACGCAACUCGCCGGCUAAAAGAGCUCUGGCAAAACAGUGGUUCCAUCCAAAACUAUGCACCUCAACAAUAAUGGUCUGAGUGGGGCCUGCGGCACAAGAUCCGCUUCACAGCAGGAAACUAAUCGCUCCAUCUCCUCAGGCAAUAAAGAUUUUAUACGCUAAGACUCACAUCAAGAAUAAAUCACUGCUUGUUUCAAUGGAGCAGCAUACGAUCUCAUUUACAACAUGUACACCAGAUGAGUCACUUUCCAUCAUUAAUGACAUAAAUGACAUAACUCCUCUCAUGGCCGAUGCUGCAUAAAUCUGACCCCACUUCCAUGCAGAUUCAUGUGCCAGUUCUGCACAUCACAGGCAAAGGAACGCAUUCUUCAUCAGACUUCUAUUAGGCCACAUGCCAAAUAAAAGAAAAACCAGAACAUAAGAUCCAUCAGUGUGAGCAGUUCUUGCAGAGCUAGCGAAAUGACUCGAAAAUCAUAGUCUUCUUGCUUUAUGUUAUAUUUCUAUUUCUGUUAUUUCUUUUUUUUCCCCCUCCUUUCUUCCACAAAACAAUAAAUUUUUUCCACAAAACAAUAAAUCUGGGUAGUCAAUCUGAUCUGAACCCAAAAACAUCUUGAAACCCACCAGUAGAUUCAUCCGAGACAGUCAGCACACUCAGAAGGCAAAACAAGAAUCAAAUGAAACUGUAAUCCUAGAUGGCUGCCUCACAUUUUCUUCUUAGAUUCUAAAUAACAAAUUAUGCACAUCUCAAUGAUAAUAUGAAACCAGAAGACACAAACCGACAUCUGUCUCUAGCCAUGAAGAUGGAGACUACAGCUAGAUUCACCAAGAGGAGGAGACUUGGGUGCACUAAUCUUGCUAUCUUGCUUCUCCUGGCAUUUCUGGAGUU